AUGCUUGUGAAGAACAAGCUACUGCAAGCUUGUUGCACAAGAGGAUGCCGAGUCACGUCCUGGUGAUGUCAACACAGACAAGACACAUCUUAGGACUUGAUGCCCAUGGCCUCCUGGAGAAUGUCACAUAGCCCGAUGGAUGAAGAUAUAGGGACUAUCAUCACUUCACCACAGAAUUUGGAAUCCAUCUGAUGGACCUGUAUGGCACUCCCAAUCAUAUCCUGGCACACAGUAACAUUGGGAAGCGUGCACCUCGCAGUAUUGGUGUUCGCCUUGCCAGCCUCUGAGACGUAGAGCGCUGUUUAGAACUUAUGGGACCAAUGGACUGCGAGGAGAUGGUGAUGGUGGACCUGGCAGUGGACUGUUGGUGGAUAGUGAUGGAUGAUGGAGGAUAGUUCUGGUGGUAGAUGGAGGAUAGUGAUAGAGGUUCGAGGGACAGACCCCAAAAUUGCAGACCAGUGACCUUGACCUCGCAU